rnacentral:rRNA from 11 species
UCUUCUUUCCAACUUGUCCUUGAGGAAGGCACCAGAUCCCAUCUGAUUCUGGAUACUAAGCAGGAUCAACCUUGGUUGGUACUUGCAUGGGAGACAGUCAAUGAAUUUCAGAGUAAGAAUUA